UUUCCUGCCUGUGUUGCAGGCAACUUACUCUACAGGAUGUUGCUUGCGGUUAAAUUUGUCUAUAAAUCGGAAGGCUCUCAAAACAACGCUAAUGUGAGUGCUGAUGAGCAACCAUGAGUCCAACUGCAAUGGCUUUACCUCUGAAGAUUUCCAUAGUUCUCGCCGUUCUGUCCACAAUUAUUCAUGCAGCGGACAUCACAGCAGCACGUGGAAGCUCUGUCUGUCUCCCCUGCGCCUCAGACCUGUACAGUAAUAGCACAGUUACAGUUACAUGGAGAACAAAUGGACGCCCUGGGAUUCUAUGCCAAUACCGUGUGCUAAACGGCACAGCUACAGAUUCAUUAUCAAAAUCAUGUGACGACCGUAUCAAUAGAACAGCACAACCUCCAACGCUCUGUAUAAGUGGAGUAAAAACCAGAGAUGCUGGUUAUUAUAACUGUUCAGUGUCUAGAGCCGUACCCCCACCAACGGUGCAGAUCUUCUACAAGGUGGAACUUCAUGUUGAAGGUCCACCGCGUGUCAUCAUAGAAUCCCAGACAAACAACACAUCAGACUGCCUUUCGCUACUGUGUGAGCUGGAUGGCCUGGACUCAGCACAGGUGAACAUCACCUGGAGCAGAAAUGGACAAAGCAUAUCUGAAACAACCAGUUCCCUACAGCUGUGCAACCAUGAGUGGAGUGAGGGAGACACGUUCACCUGCAACACUAGCCAGUUCUCCAGUUACACAGACCUCAGUGCCAGCAUAACCAUCACACAGACACACUCAGGAGUGGGUGACAACUCUUACCCUGCUCCUCUGGUUCUGAUCUCCGUGGGCACGUUGGCGGGGACCCUGACCCUCAUCUGUGCACUCUUCUGUUUAUUUAAAUGUAUCCAAAAUGCAAAAGCCUCGAGAGAAAACCCAGUGGAUACAGGCUUGUUUACUGAAUGCACUUAUAAAAUGAGUCGAACAUCAGAAAGUCCUUUGCUGUGAGCUUAAACAGCCCUCUUUCUUUCAUUUCUUUUGGCACAUAACAUAGCAUAGCAUAGCAUAGCAUAGCAUAGCAUAACA